UCUUUAUUACAUAAUUUAUUUGAAUUAUUGAUCAUUUUAAAUUAGUUAUUUAAUAUUUUAAAAUUUUAAUUUUAUUAUCUAAUCUUUCAAUUUAUUUGAUUUGAGUCAUUCAGCUGUAUUUUGACUUUAAAUUUAAAAAUUGUGUACAGUAUAAUAACUAAAAAUUAUAAAAAUAAAUAAUGUAUUUAAAUUUUGAAGUCACAAUAUCAUCGACGGACUGAAAUCAAGUAAAUUUAAAAGUCGUGUAGUAAAAUCAAAAUUUUGAAACAUUACGUAGUCGAUAAAAAAAAAGAUUUAUUGUUCAAAUAAGUUCUAUACUUUUUACUUUAUUCUUCUUUUACGAGUACAUCUUAUGCCUCAUU
rnacentral:lncRNA from 1 species